rnacentral:rRNA from 1 species
AGAAUCAACGCUGGCGGCGUGCCUAAUACAUGCAAGUCGAACGCGAAAGUCCCGCAAGGGCAAGUAGAGUGGCAAACGGGUGAGUAACGCGUGGGCGACCUACCUUCGAGUGGGGGAUAACCUUCCGAAAGGAGGGCUAAUACCGCAUGACAUACCGUGUUUGGAUACACGGACAUCAAAGCCGGGGAUCGCAAGACCUGGCGCUUGAAGAGGGGCCUACGUCCGAUUAGCUAGUUGGUGAGGUAACGGCUCACCAAGGCUUCGAUCGGUA